rnacentral:rRNA from 2 species
CAGCCGCCGCGGUAAAACCAGCACCUCAAGUGGUCAGGAUGAUUAUUGGGCCUAAAGCAUCCGUAGCCGGCGCUGUAAGUUUUCGGUUAAAUCUGUACGCUCAACGUACAGGCUGCCGGGAAUACUGCAGCGCUAGGGAGUGGGAGAGGUAGACGGUACUCGGUAGGAAGGGGUAAAAUCCUUUGAUCUAUUGAUGACCACCUGUGGCGAAGGCGGUCUACCAGAACACGUCCGACGGUGAGGGAUGAAAGCUGGGGGAGCAAACCGGAUUAGAUACCCGGGUAGUCCCAGCUGUAAACUAUGCAAACUCAGUGAUGCAUUGGCUUGUGGCCAAUGUAGUGCUGCAGGGAAGCCGUUAAGUUUGCCGCCUGGGAAGUACGUACGCAAGUAUGAAACUUAAAGGAAUUGGCGGGGGAGCAC